rnacentral:rRNA from 1 species
CCUACGGGUGCUUCAGUGGGGAAUAUUUCACAAUGGGGGAAACCCUGAUGCAGCGACGCCGCGUGAGUGAAGAAGUAAUUCGUUAUGUAUAGCUCUAUCAGCAGGGAAGAAAAUGACGCUACCGGAGUAAGAAGCCCAGGCUAACUACGUGCCAGCAGCGGCGGUAAUACGUAGGGGGCAAGCGUUAUCCGGAUUUACUGGGGGUAAAGGGGGCGUAGACGGCAGUGCAAGUCUGGAGUGAAAGGCGGGGGCUCAACCCCCGGACUGCUGUGGAAACUGUACGGCUGGAGUGCAGGAGAGGUAAGUGGGAUUCCUAGUGUAGCGGUGAAAUGCGUAGAUAUUAGGAGGAACCCCAGUGGCGAAGGCAGCUUACUGGACUGUAACUGACGUUGAGGCUCGAAAGCGUGGGGAGCGAACAGGAUUAGAUACCCCUGUAGUC